UUGUAAUUUGUAGAAGGUGCUUCGGGUGCGACCCCGGUCGAAGUCCCUUGGAACAGGGCGUCGCAGAGGGUGAGAGUCCCGUACGCGGCCGAUGGUCAAGCCCGUGUGAAGCCCUUUCGACGAGUCGAGUUGUUUGGGAAUGCAGCUCUAAAUGGGUGGUAAAUUUCAUCUAAAGCUAAAUAUUUGCCUUAGACCGAUAGCGCACAAGUAGAGUGAUCGAAAGAUGAAAAGCACUUUGAAAAGAGAGUCAAACAGUACGUGAAAUUGUUGAAAGGGAAGCGCUUGCAACCAGACUCGUUCGCGGGUGCUCAGCCGUCCCUCGGGGCGGUGCACUCUCCCGCGUUUCGGGCCAGCAUCGGUUCUGGCGGCCGGACAAAGGCCCUGGGAAUGUAGCUCUCUUCGGGGAGUGUUAUAGCCCGGGGUGCAAUGCGGCCAGCCGGGACCGAGGACCGCGCAUCAGCUAGGAUGCUGGCGUAA
rnacentral:rRNA from 1 species